UAAGCAGGAGGCUGGGGGGAGCCGCAAACGCCAAGGCCAUUCAGGACCCAUCCUCUUACAGCAACCUUAAAAGACAUCAGGAGGAGAGAUACACCUUCUAGUCUGGGGGCUCAGGGUGAGAGGAGGGGCAGCUCCGGAGUCAGGCCCCAGAUGGCUGGUGCCAGGGGGUGGCAGAAUACCAUGAAUGUGAAGAGCCAGUUUUACUCCUAUAUCAUCUCCAGUGUGCUGAUGAGGAAACCAUGGCACAAAGAGGUUAAAUAACCUGUAAAUAAAUAAAGAAUCUGAGCUGAGCUUCAAACGUGGGCAGUCUGGCUUCAGGUCCCUGGUUUCCACCACUGUACAACACUGCCUCUCAUUACCCAGGAUGCACCUAAGACUCCCAGAAAUGGGGGCUGGGGCACAAAAGCAGCAGUGGUGGGAAGUGGAAGAAGCAAGCCAGCAGGAUACUUCAGUGGCACUAGACAGUGGAGAUGCCACCCCCAUUACACAUGGGUCCACUCUCUACCUUGCACUGGACUCUGUCUCUUACCACAGGCUUAAAAUCUUCCAGGGCCAGAGCUCUGCCUUAGUUAUCUUGACACAUCCACAACCCAAGCAUGAUGUCUUGUGCAUACAAAGAGCUGA
rnacentral:lncRNA from 10 species